rnacentral:tRNA from 1 species
AGAAAUUUAAGUUAACAGA